AUGAUCUCUCGAGCUCAGCUCAUCUGGCUGUUAGUGCUCUGGGUCCAGGAUUCCAGUGCGGACAUUGUGAUGACUCAGAGUCCGGAAUCCCUGGCAGUGUCUCCUGGAGACAGAGUCACCAUCAACUGCAAAGCCAGUGAAAGCAUUACAGGCUCUUCAGGUACUAUUUACUUAGCCUGGUACCAACAGAAACCCAGACAAGCUCCGAAGCUCCUGAUCUACAAGGCUUCCACCCGCGCCGCUGAGAUCCCAGACCGGUUCAGUGGCAGUGGGUCUGGAACCGAUUUCACUCUCACAAUCAGUAAGGUUGAGGCGGAAGAUGCUGGAGAUUAUUAUUGUCAACAAGGCUGGAGCUCACCUCUCACAGUGAUACAACCCAGUACAAAAACCUCCCUGUGCUGUUCCGUUCAGUGUCACAGCUGCUUCCUUAGCCAAGCCACCUUCUCAAUCAACUGCUACAUGGUAUUUGGGGAAAACUUUCAGCCCUACAAGCCGCCAACAUGUUCCCAGCCUGCAGUACAAAUAUAA